AAAACGGGCCACUUGAUUAGCAAAGUGGUAGCUGUUAUUUUGGGGGAAUUCCCGUCUUGAUUGCAUUAAGGCGGGUCUCCAUCUUUCCAGGCCAGGAGGAAUGUGGUGGUGGAGGUGGAGGAUUGUGGUAUGUGGUCAGGAGUGAGAAGAAAUAGUAAGGCCGUCCCGGUGAGGGAGAAAUGUAACCUAAAACCUGUCUCUGCUGUUGUUGGAUUGGGUCACCCCUGGUCUAUGGCAUGAAAGUUUUAUUGGGAGGAGAUCUGCUGCAAGAGUCUGAUUGCUUGGGUCAGUGCAACAGGACAGAAUCUAGUCGCUGCAUACCUCCUUCCCUGUCCUCAAUCAGGAUCAAGUCUUCCAUACCAGGGACCAGGCCAAAACCAGACUGCCACUGCCCCUACUUGGGCCCCACUGUCCCCAGAAAGCAGCUGCUGUGAUCAUGGGCAAUAUCUUUGGAAACCUUCUCAAGAGCCUGAUUGGGAAGAAGGAGAUGCGCAUCCUGAUGGUGGGCCUGGAUGCCGCAGGAAAGACCACCAUCCUAUACAAGCUGAAACUCGGGG
rnacentral:lncRNA from 10 species